rnacentral:rRNA from 1 species
UACGUAGGGGGGCUAGCGUUGUCCGGAUUUAUGGGCGUAAAGAGCGUGUAGGCGGCCAGGUAGGUCUGCUGUGAAAACUCGAGGCUCAACCUCGAGACGUCGGCGGAAACCAUCUGGCUAGAGUCCGGGAAGAGGAGAGUGGAAUUCCUGGUGUAGCGGUGAAAUGCGCAGAUAUCAGGAAGAACACCCGUGGCGAAGGCGGCUCUCUGGGACGGUACUGACGCUGAGACGCGAAAGCGUGGGGAGCGAACAGG